rnacentral:rRNA from 1 species
CGCCAGACUCCUACGGGAGGCAGCAGUGGGGGAUAUUGCACAAUGGGGGGAACCCUGAUGCAGCGACGCCGCGUGGGUGAAGAAGUAUUUCGGUAUGUAAAGCCCUAUCGGCAGGGAAGAAAUUGGACGGUACCUGACUAAGAAGCCCCGGCUAACUACGUGCCAGCAGCCGCGGUAAUACGUAGGGGGCAAGCGUUAUCCGGAUUCACUGGGUGUAAAGGGAGCGUAGACGGCGACGCAAGUCUGGAGUGAAAGCCCGGGGCCCAACCCCGGGACUGCUCUGGAAACUGCGUCGCUGGAGUACGGGAGGGGCAGGCGGAAUUCCUGGUGUAGCGGUGAAAUGCGUAGAUAUUAGGAGGAACACCAGUGGCGAAGGCGGUCUGCUGGACAGCAACUGACGCUGAGGCGCGAAAGCGUGGGGAGCAAACAGGAUUAGAUACCCGAGUA